UACGAGGGGUGCAAGCGUUGCUCGGAAUUAUUGGGCGUAAAGAGCUCGUAGGCGGUCUGUUGCGUCUGCUGUGAAAACCCGGGGCUUAACCCCUGGCUUGCAGUGGAUACGGACAGACUAGAGGUAGGUAGGGGAGAAUGGAAUUCCCGGUGUAGCGGUGAAAUGCGCAGAUAUCGGGAGGAACACCGGUGGCGAAGGCGGUUCUCUGGGCCUUACCUGACGCUGAGGAGCGAAAGCGUGGGGAGCGAACAGG
rnacentral:rRNA from 1 species